GGGGAAUGCUCUGGGGUAAGCGGGUUACUUUUGCAGGGUGACUGACCGGAGAGUUCGAUUCUCUCAUUCUCCACCA
rnacentral:tRNA from 1 species